rnacentral:sRNA from 1 species
CGCAAGCCUGACGGAGCAACGCCGCGUGAGGGAUGGAGGCCUUUGGGCUGUAAACCUCUUUUCUCAAGGAAGAAAAUCUGACGGUACUUGAGGAAUAAGCCACGGCUAAUUCCGUGCCAGCAGCCGCGGUAAUACGGGAGUGGCAAGCGUUAUCCGGAAUUAUUGGGCGUAAAGCGUCCGCAGGCGGCCGUUUAAGUCUGUUGUUAAAUCGUGGAGCUCAACUCCAUCACGGCAAUGGAAACUGCUCGGCUUGAGUAUGGUAGGGGCAGAGGGAAUUUCCGGUGUAGCGGUGAAAUGCGUAGAUAUCGGGAAGAACACCAGUGGCAAAAGCGCUCUGCUGGGCCAUUACUGACGCUCAUGGACGAAAGCCAGGGGAGCGAAAGGGAUUAGAUACCCCUGUAGUCCUGGCCGUAAACGAUGAACACUAGAUGUUGGGGGAAUCGACCCCCUCGGUGUCGUAGCUAACGCGUUAAGUGUUCCGCCUGGGGAGUACGCACGCAAGUGUGAAACUCAAAGGAAUUGACGGGGGCCCGCACAAGCGGUGGAGUAUGUGGUUUAAUUCGAUGCAACGCGAAGAACCUUACCAAGGCUUGACAUCCUGCGAAUCUCUAAGAAAUUAGAGAGUGCCCUUUGGGAACGCAGUGACAGGUGGUGCAUGGCUGUCGUCAGCUCGUGUCGUGAGAUGUUGGGUUAAGUCCCGCAACGAGCGCAACCCACGUUUUUAGUUGCCAGCAUUCAGUUGGGCACUCUAGAAAGACUGCCGGUGACAAACCGGAGGAAGGUGUGGACGACGUCAAGUCAUCAUGCCCCUUACGCCUUGGGCUACACACGUACUACAAUGCUGCGGACAAAGAGUAGCGAUCUUGCAAAAGUUAGCUAAUCUCGUAAACCGUGGCUCAGUUCAGAUCGUAGGCUGCAACUCGCCUACGUGAAGGAGGAAUCGCUAGUAAUCGCAGGUCAGCAUACUGCGGUGAAUACGUUCCCGGGCCUUGUACACACCGCCCGUCACACCAUGGAAGUUGGCCAUGCCCGAAGUCGUUACUCUAACCUUUUGGAAGAGGGCGCCGAAGGCAGGGCUAAUGACUGGGGUGAAGUCGUAACAAGGUAGCCGUAGCGGAAGCUGCGGCUGGAUCACCUCCUAACAGGGAGACAUCACUGACUUUGAUGGUUAAGCUUUUCCGAUCUUAGCCCAGAGUCCUGUCAUCUCAAUGGUCGAUCGGUAUCUCUGGUGAAAAUACUUAAAAUUUUCAUCUAGAUUCUUGAACUUGUCUUGGUCAAGCACGAUGAAAUUCGUGGGCCAUGAGCUCAGGUGGUUAGAGCGCACCCCUGAUAAGGGUGAGGUCCUUGGUUCAAGUCCAAGAUGGCCCAUCAUUACUAGGGGGUUUAGCUCAGCUGGUAGAGCGCCUGCUUUGCAAGCAGGAAGCCAGCGGUUCGAAUCCGCUAACCUCCACUGGCAAACUUUUUCAGUUUGCCUUUACGAAUCGAUUCGUCAUUCGAUCAGAAUCUUGAAAACUGCAUAGAUUGAGUCUGGAAAAGCAUCUCAUAGACUUUAGAUUCUAUUGAGAUUAGAAGCGAAUCUUAAGAUUUGCUUUGUCAAGCUACAAAGGGCUCACGGU